AGUUUUUUCAAACUUGUUAUUGUACUAAAAUCAUGCUAUUUUGUUGGCAGUUUAUAUUGAAGGGUAUUGAUAAAGGAGAAAUUCUAAGUAGCGGGGCUCCUCAAAUUACUAAAGAGGGAUCAGGUGGGGUUAAUGCGGUUGAAGGCCAGUCAAGAAGAAGCAAAUUUGGUAUGCAGGGGUACUUUGGGAAUUCUAGCUCUGUUCCAGCCAGAGCAACAGAGAGUGGAGAUGAACUGUUUCAAUUGGCCAAGCUGAUGCAGCUUGAAAGGCAAAAGUAAGCAAGUUAGCAUAACCAAA